AUGGACCCCAACUGCUCCUUUUCCACCGGUGGCUCCUGCACGUGUGCCGGCUCCUGCAAAUGCAAGGAGUGCAAAUGCACCUCCUGCAAGAAGAGCUGCUGCUCCUGCCGUCCCGCGAGCUGUGCCAAAUGUGCCCAGGGCUGCAUCUGCAAAGGUGCAUCGGACAAGUGCAGUUGAUGUGCCUGA